rnacentral:rRNA from 1 species
UGCCCAACAGCUAGCCCACCCAACCAAUCUCAAUAAACCCCUGUUAAUAACCCCUAAAUACCCCCGUAUUUAAAUUAAACAAACCAUUUUCCCCCCUUAGUAUAGGCGAUAGAAAAGGGACCUCGGCGCGAUAGAGAAAGUACCGCAAGGGAAUGCUGAAAGAGAAAUGAAAUAACCCAGUAAAGCCUAAAAAAGCAGAGAUUCAGCCUCGUACCUUUUGCAUCAUGAUUUAGCGAGUGUACCCCAAGCAAAGCGUACUUUAGUUUGGCGUCCCGAAACUACGUGAGCUACUCCAAGACAGCCUAUUAAUAGGGCGCACCCGUCUCUGUGGCAAAAGAGUGGGGGGAGCUUUGAGUAGAGGUGAUAAACCUACCGAACCUAGUUAUAGCUGGUUGUCCAAGAAAUGAAUAGAAGUUCAGCCUCUUGGCUUCUCUUUUCACCCUAGUUUAACCCCUAUUGAUGCAACAAGAAACCAAGAGAGUUAGUCAAAGGGGGUACAGCCCCUUUGAAUCAAGACACAACUUUACCAGGAGGGUAAAGAUCAUA